rnacentral:tRNA from 1 species
GGUAGUGUGGCCGAGGUUAGGCGGCGAGUUGUAGCCUCGUAAACCGGGCAAGCCCCGCACGACCAGGCC